rnacentral:sRNA from 1 species
AUAUUGCGUUAGUGAUAGCAGCGACAUCCUUUACUUGCGUUCUUACGCAAGGAAAGAUACAGCGGAUAGCACGUUUAAAC